CUGGGCAUUCCUUGGCUUGUGGCUGCAUGACUGUAGUCUCUGCCUGUCUUCACACAGCUUUCUUCUUUUGUGUCUGUCUCUGUGUCUCUUCUGAUAAGGAAUGAGUCAUACUGGACUAAGGGUCCCCCCUACUUAGGAGUAUGACCUCAUCUUAAGUAAUUCCAUCUGCAGGGACUCUGUUUCUAAAUAAGGUCCUACUUACAGGCGUGAGGGUUAGGACUUC
rnacentral:lncRNA from 10 species